AACCUGGUUGAUCCUGCCAGUAGUCAUAUGCUUGUCUCAAAGAUUAAGCCAUGCAUGUGUAAGCACACACUGUUUUAAAAGUGAAGCCGCGAAUGGCUCAUUACAACAGCCACAGUUUAUUAGAACUUACAAUCAUGGAUAACUGUGGUAAUUCUAGAGCUAAUACACGCACAAAAACUUCAACUGAAUUGGUUGAAGUGCUUUUAUUAGAACAAAAACCGAACGGCGUUUGGCGAAUGUUGAACGUCGAAACUGUUUGGUGAAUCUGAAUAACUAUUUCUGAUCGCAUGGUCUAGCACCGGCGACAUCACUUUCAAGUGUCUGCCUUAUCAACCUUCGAUGGUAGUCUAUGCGACUACCAUGGUGAUAACGGGUAACGGAGAAUCAGGGUUCGACUCCGGAGAGGGAGCCUGAGAAACGGCUACCACAUCCAAGGAAGGCAGCAGGCGCGCAAAUUACCCACUCCCAGCUUGGGGAGGUAGUGACGAAAAAUAACGAGACGAUUCUCGUUUGAGAAACGUUAUCGAAAUGAGUGCGCUUUACACACGCUAACGAGUAGCAAUUGGAGGGCAAGUCUGGUGCCAGCAGCCGCGGUAAUUCCAGCUCCAAUAGCGUAUAUUAAAGUUGCUGCGGUUAAAACGCUCGUAGUUGAAUUGUGGUCUUAGACAACAGUCCCCCUACAUAGGUGUGGCACGGUUGCUCGAGAUCUUCAUUCGUGGUUGCUGUUGUUGCUCUUCAUUGAGUGUCAAUGGUGCCUCGAGAUUUUACUUUGAAAAAAUUAGAGUGCUCAAAGCAGGUUGUGAUGCCUGAAUAAUGGUGCAUGGAAUAAUAGAAUACGAUCUCGGUUCUAUUUUGUUGGUUUUCGAACCGGAGAUAAUGAUUGAAAGGAACAGACGGGGGCAUUCGUAUUGCUGCGUUAGAGGUGAAAUUCUUGGAUCGCAGCAAGAUGAACAAUUGCGAAAGCAUUUGCCAAGAAUGUUUUCAUUAAUCAAGAACGAAAGUUAGAGGUUCGAAGGCGAUCAGAUACCGCCCUAGUUCUAACGGUAAACUAUGCCAACCAGCGAUUCGCCGAAGUUCAUUUAAGACUCGGCGAGCAGCCUCCGGGAAACCAAAGUGUUUCGGUUCCGGGGGAAGUAUGGUUGCAAAGCUGAAACUUAAAGGAAUUGACGGAAGGGCACCACCAGGAGUGGAGCCUGCGGCUUAAUUUGACUCAACACGGGAAAACUCACCCGGCCCGGACACUGGAAGGAUUGACAGAUUGACAGCUCUUUCUUGAUUCAGUGGGUAGUGGUGCAUGGCCGUUCUUAGUUGGUGGAGCGAUUUGUCUGGUUAAUUCCGAUAACGAACGAGACUCUACCCUAUUAAAUAGUGACAGUAUUGUAUUUUUUGUGCUGAUCACUUCUUAGAGGGACUGGCAAAUUGAAAGCUGCACGAAAAAGAGCAAUAACAGGUCUGUGACGCCCUUCGAUGUCCGGGGCUGCACGCGCGCUACAAUGAAAGCGUCAACGUGAGUUACGUCCUUACCUGAAAAGGUUUGGCAAUCGAAUGAAACGUUUUCUUGAAUGGAAUAGGGAAUUGCAAUUGUUUCCCUUGAACGAGGAAUUCCCAGUAAGCGUGAGUCAUUAGCUCGCGUUGAUUACGUCCCUGCCCUUUGUACACACCGCCCGUCGCUACUACCGAUUGGAUGAUUUAGUGAGGUGUUUUGACUGGCGCCAGUAGUCGGAUGUAUUCGGCUUCGCGCCGGGAAAUUUCCCAAACCAAAUCAUCUAGAGGAAGUAAAAGUCGUAACAAGGUUUCCGUAGGUGAACCUGCGGAAGGAUCAUUA
rnacentral:rRNA from 1 species